rnacentral:rRNA from 1 species
AUACGUAGGGUGCAAGCGUUAAUCGGAAUUACUGGGCGUAAAGCGUGCGCAGGCGGUUUUGUAAGACAGAGGUGAAAUCCCCGGGCUCAACCUGGGAACUGCCUUUGUGACUGCAAAGCUAGAGUACGGCAGAGGGGGAUGGAAUUCCGCGUGUAGCAGUGAAAUGCGUAGAUAUGCGGAGGAACACCGAUGGCGAAGGCAAUCCCCGGGGCCUGUACUGACGCUCAUGCACGAAAGCGUGGGGAGCAAACAGGAUUAGAUCCCCUGGUAGUCCACGCCCUAAACGAUGUCAACUGGUUGUGGGGUCUUCAUUGACUCAGUAACGAAGCUAACGCGUGAAGUUGACCGCCUGGGGAGUACGGCCGCAAGGUUGAAACUCAAAGGAAUUGGCGGGG